CUCUGCCCGGGGCUGCCGCUGGGGCUCCCGCCGCCGCCGCCGCCGGGUGCCUUGAGGAGAGCCGGGACGCCGCCGGGCUUGGCGCUGCCGCUGGCGCCGCUGCCCACCAGCACGGCCGCGGGGCAGCUCCGCACCGCCAGCUUCUGCCGGGGGAGAGAAGGGGAGAGAGAAGCGGCAUCGUCACCCGCCGGGCUGCAGCUGGACCCCGGCCCCCCGGCCCCCGCCGCCGCUCUGCCCCCCGGCCGGCCGAGCUCCCGCGGCUGGAGCUGCCCUGCCGGGCUCGGCCCCGCCAGCGCGGAUGUGGGUUCAUUUUCUUGGGCGGUUUUCUCCUUGGAGGGGCAGGCGGCGGGCAGGGAAAGGCUGGGCUUCCCCUACUCGCCCGGGAACGUGGGGUUUCACUCGGGGGGGGGUCAAAGUCUUUUUUUUUUUUUUUUUCUUUUUUUUUUCCCUUUGGCAUCUGUUUAUGCCCGGAACUAAUGAUCCAGGUAUAGGUCUAGAUAAUACUGCAGCUUUAAUUAAUAAUAAAAGGCUUUUAGACGUAAAGAAUGUUAUUUUCAACUUUCUUUCCCACUGGGCUGAAAUUUCCAUUACACGUGCUCGCCUCCCUCCAGCGCUCGCUUACUUCUCGUGGUCUUUCACCCUGACUGACUUUGGAGUCAUAUUUUGGUUUCCCCUUUAACUUGUUUUUUUUUUCCUCACAAACUUCCACUAUUUUCCCAGUGUUUUGGGGUUUGUUUGGUUUGUUGGGUUUUUUCUUUUUUUUUUUUUUUUUCCCCAAGCUAUCUUUUUUCUGUAGCGCCGUUUUAACUGACAGUUCUCUGUUUUUCUUAACAGCUGUACUUUUAAAUUGCUACAGGGUGGCUAUUCUGUCAUCUGUAAUAGGAAUGCAUUGAUCAUGAUCUAUUUACAGUAUCUCUUACAAGACUUGUAUUUGAGUUUUCUGUAGGCACUGUGAAGUUGCCAUAUGGUGAACACCAGUGUCUACGUAAAAUGCUCACUUUUGGAAAGAAAAAAACUUCUAUAAAGUUAUUGCACUUUGAAUCAUCUCAGAAGCUGCUUAGGCAGGUUAGGUGUAUGCGGAAAAAAAUAUCCUGGUUCAAGACUCUUUUGAUGCUUUGAAGUAUUAACCAUUUCAUUUUUACAAGAGUCUGUAUCAAAGCUACUUAAUCCUGCAAAGACUUCUGCCCAUGUUUAACUAUUCGCUGUCCGAUCCUCUCUGCUGCGUUGCCAUUACAUCUAACAUGUCGCCUUUCAGGAAACUUCGCCGCCUGCCUAGGUCUGCUGCUGUACUAUUAAAGUCAUUAAGCAGUUUGUUGUCAACUUCACUUGUUUAAAAUACUCUGUGUGUGUAUAUGUAUAUAUGUGUGUAUAUAUAUAAAGUCACAGACAUGCUUAGUUCUUUCCAGAAUCAAGGCUGGAAACUCUUAAUUCUGGGCAUAAAGUAGAAGCCUUGUACAAAACUACCUGACUUCUAAUACCUUCCUCCUUACCUUUAAACACGUUGCACACUUUAAGGCUGUAAAGCCUUAAUUGUCAAAUAUGUUUGCUCCAGGAACUGUAUGUAGUUUUUGUAUUUAUGUGAAAAAUCAAGCAUGCACUUUAUCAGAGAUACGUACUUCAUAUUUUAAUAUAAAGAAAUCACUUUGUCAGACUUACUCUAGUAAUCAUGACUUCAUAUAAAUUGUUUUAAGUUUUGUUUGGUUUUGCCUUUACCUUUCUUUCUCCAUUAUCCUAACAGUCAUUCCAAGGAAGCAUAGGCAAUAUUUUCCUUAAACCAUGCUGUUGCAUGUCGUGGAUGUCUUGAAGAGGAACUAACUUUUCUUUCAGUCCAGAACUACACCUGUCUGUUAGUUUAAAAGUACUCAAGUGAAAGCCAAGAAGCUCAGGUGCGUUUUGUGGAGGUGGAAAAAGUUGCUCAUGACAAAAUUCUAUGAAAUGAUUAUUUUCUGUUUCGUUGUAGUACGGUUUUCCACUGGUGUUCCUUGUACAGGUAUGUUGCUACAGAUGCAAAAUGACUGCGUGUGGGAGAGCUGAACACUACCUCUCCCCGACUCUACUGAAAACCUCCUCGCGCAGCGCCUUUUUAACCUAUACGCUUUACUUUUCCCUCAGGCGAUUCAGCAACAGAAAAGAUCCAAACAAACAAAACUCCACGAUCCCAUACAAUACUUGGUAGCUGGGUGGAAAAGGCAAGUAAAGAAGCAGAAAGAGAUUAUGACUUUCCUGCCACAAUUCAAUAGCAAGUAAUUGCUUUUUAUCUUGUUCCAAAGGAGGAAACUGUACCAAGAAUUACAAAAGUAGAAAUGCUGGAAACAAACAAACAGACAAGCAACAAAUUUCACUACUCAAACUACCAUCAAUGCAUUUCCACUGUUCUCCUAUAUGCAUUAACAGUGAGUUAGUUUUGCGUGUCUGUACGUGAUGUGUGUGCGUAUCUUCCUAAUAAACUGACAAAACUCUCUAUUCAGAUGUAUGUGACCAAAAAAGCUAAGGAAAUAAGGGUUACUGCUUGUUUCAGUCUGAUCUGAGAUAAAUAUUGAAUGCUUUUAAAAUUGAACACUUGUCUCCUAAUGGAAAACUUUCAUUUUCAUAUAGGUUUUGGGGCUUUUCUAAGUAAAUCCAAGAAAAAAAUGUGUCUCUGUGAUAGGCUUGCAAGGACCGAUCGGCCCAUGCCAGUCAUCUCCGCAGGGAACAAUGCUAUGCUAAAUUUAUUUAAAUAACUGCAAAUUUUAGAAACUAAAUAUGGAAGCAUAUACAAAGGAUCAGGUGCUCAAGAUUAGCUUCCAAAAGAGAAUUACAGAAAAAUUGUCUGUUUGGGAAAAGCAGCUACACCAUCUCUUCUGUGUCUCAUUUAGUAAUUUUCUGAAAAUGUACCUACCAAAACUUCAAAAAUACCCCUUUAAUCAGAUUAACGUUCAUAGGAGACAAGCUAUUAUGCAGUUUUUCUUUGUAAUGACCAUUUUUAUUUUAUACCCCCAUAAAGACAUUGAUAAAGGAGUGUUGGCAGAAACAAAGAUUAUGAUAUGAGAGAUUAAAAAAAUCCUCAACAAAA